rnacentral:rRNA from 1 species
CUGGCUCAGGAUGAACGCUAGCUACAGGCUUAACACAUGCAAGUCGAGGGGCAGCAUGUUGGUUGCUGCAACCAAUGAUGGCGACCGGCGCACGGGUGAGUAACGCGUAUCCAACCUUCCCCUUAGUAGAGGAUAGCCCGGCGAAAGUCGGAUUAAUACUCUAUGUUCUUCAAUGCGGACAUCUAAGUUGAAGCAAAGAUUUAUCGCUAAGGGAUGGGGAUGCGUCUGAUUAGGUUGCAGGCGGGGUAACGGCCCACCUGGCCUACGAUCAGUAGGGGUUCUGAGAGGAAGGUCCCCCACACUGGUACUGAGACACGGACCAGACUCCUACGGGAGGCAGCAGUGAGGAAUAUUGGUCAAUGGGCGCGAGCCUGAACCAGCCAAGUAGCGUGCCAGGACGACUGCCCUAUGGGUUGUAAACUGCUUUUAUCAGGGAAUAAAGUGAGGCACGCGUGCCUUUUUGUAUGUACCUGAUGAAUAAGGACCGGCUAAUUCCGUGCCAGCCGCGGC